rnacentral:rRNA from 1 species
GAUGAACGCUGACAGAAUGCUUAACACAUGCAAGUCAACUUGAACUUCGGUUUGGGUGGCGGACGGGUGAGUAACGCGUAAAGAACUUGCCUCACAGAUAGGGACAACAUUUGGAAACGAAUGCUAAUACCUGAUAUUAUGAUUUUAGGGCAUCCUAGGAUUAUGAAAGCUAUAUGCGCUGUGAGAGAGCUUUGCGUCCCAUUAGCUAGUUGGAGAGGUAACGGCUCACCAAGGCGAUGAUGGGUAGCCGGCCUGAGAGGGUGAUCGGCCACAAGGGGACUGAGACACGGCCCUUACUCCUACGGGAGGCAGCAGUGGGGAAUAUUGGACGAUGGACCAAGAGUCUGAUCCAGCAAUUCUGUGUGCACGAUGAAGUUUUUCGGAAUGUAAAGUGCUUUCAGUUGGGAAGAAAAAAAUGACGGUACCAACAGAAGAAGUGACGGCUAAAUACGUGCCAGCAGCCGCGGUAAUACGUAUGUCACAAGCGUUAUCCGGAUUUUAUUGGGCGUAAAGCGCGUCUAGGUGGUUAUAUAAGUCUGAUGUGAAAAUGCAGGGCUCAACUCUGUAUUGUGUUUGGAAACUGUGUAACUAGAGUACUGGAGAGGUAAGCGGAACUACUAGUGUAGAGGUGAAAAUUCUUUUAUUUUUGUAGGAAUGCCCAUGGUUAAUC